CGCCCACCUGCAGCUGAUACCUUUUGAGAGUUACUAGCAGGCACCUCAGUGCAUCUUUAAGCAGCAGGAUGCCACUGAACUUGCACAGACUUUGAGCUACAGGCCUGUGGUUCGAGUGGCCCUGGGAACCCCUAAGUCAAAACCGGCAGGGGGUCCCAGGUUCCUGAAUCUAAUUGGUGCCUGCUGGACAGGUCUAACAGCUGUGCGUGGGGCAAUGCCUGUGCCUGUUGAGCUGGCUCAGCUGCAGUACGAGCACUUCUCCACUGGCUCACCUGGUCGUGCUCUUAAACACCCCUUAGUGCAGUAAAACCUCCUCAGUGCAGUAGCUGCUCUCCUCUAGGUUGGAAAAGGCAACAGAGACACUGCAUGAAAGUUAUGAUGUUGUAGUACGAAGGCUAUAAAAACAGAAGAAGAGGGACUAAACCACUGUUCCAGUAGUUUUCUCUUCCCUUGAAACAGAGAAAUCAAAGUCAGGGAUGGGAAUAAAAGCAACAGAGACUUUGCUUGUACAAAACCAGCCCAGCACAAGGAAGUUAUCAGCAGCGGUGGACAUAGCCAGAGGAGCAAGGACAGUCAGAAAACCUGCUGGUCAAGUGGCAGCCCGGCUGUACCUCCUAGCUUACGUCCUUUUCGGGUAAUGAAAGAAGCUACAGUUUCUUAAAGGAAGGACAGAGGAACAUCCUCUUCAGACUGACACAAAAAGGGUUAAAGUUCCAGGUACCUGUCUGGAAGAGAAGAAGAACUACGUUCCCCAUAUCACCCUGCCAAGAUCUCGCAAUGGUACCUGUCUGGAAGAGAAGAAGAACUACGUUCCCCAUAUCACCCUGCCAAGAUCUCGCAAUGGUAAGCGUUAUGUGCUUACCAUGGUGGAAGCGACCACUGGGUGGCUUGAAACAUAUGCAGUACCCCAUGCUACCGCCCGAAACACCAUAUUAGGCCUCGAGGAACAAGUUCUCUGGUGACAUGGUACCCCAGAGAGAGUCGAAUCAGAUAAUGGGACUCAUUGCAAAAAUUCCCUUGUAAAUACUUGGGCCAAAGAUCAUGGCAUUGAGUGGAUUUAUCAUAUCCCCUAUCACGCACCAGCUUCUGGUAAAAUUGAAUGAUACAACGGGUUGUUAAAAACCAUGUUGAAAGCAAUGGGUGGCGGAACAUUUAAGCACUGGGAGAAGCAUUUGGCCGAAGCCACCUGGUUGGUGAAUACUCGAGGAUCUAUCAAUCGUGAUGGUCCUGCCAGCUCCCUACAUACUGUAAAGGGAGAUAAGGUCCCUGUAGUACAUGUAAAGAACAUGCUGGGAAAAGCAGUUUGGGUCCUUCCAGCUUCUGGGAAGGGCAAACCUCUUCACGGAACUGUUUUUGCCCAGGGACCUGGGUGCACUUGGUGGGUGAUGCAGAAAAAUGGGGAUGUUCAUUGUGUGCCACAAGGGAAUUUGAUGAUGGGAGAGCGGAAUCAGUAAUUCCAAGUAUAUGUACAUGUGUUCAGUGUUGGAUAAUUGAUUAUAAUUAUGUCUGUUUGUAUAUAUUAAGCAUGCUGUAAUGAUGUAGAAUAAGGGGUGGAAUGUCAUGGUUUUAUGAUUUUUGGUUAUCAGUAUUCCACAUCACAACAUCAUGCAGUGUACUGGGAGCUAAGGAGCAAAUGCUUUAGUUCCGGGUACCUGUCUGGAAGAGAAUAAGAACUACGUUCCCCAAGAGACUUUUCGAGUACUGUUAUCAUUCCUGCUCAAGGGAACAGAUAUAAGGGCGCAGGUCAUGUGACUUGUCCCUCUUCUCGUCUCGCCGUGUUCCCUGUCGGAUCGGCUCGCUACUGCUGCGCCCGACUGCACGCAAGGCUUCAGUAUUAGCGUAAGGCCUUUGGCUCUCGGACAGUCCCAAAUAAUGAACAGACUUGUUGUCUACAGUAAUGCAUAAUAAAAAGUAUACGUGAUGGAACCCAGUCAGAGCUGAAGUUCCUAGCAGUGUGCUUGGUCACGAUAACCAGCAAAGGAUAAAAAUAAUAUGUGUUUAAUACUAGGAAUUCUCUGUUUCGGGUAGCACUAGGGGAUCUGUGAAGGACUGAGACAUCUUUGUUUUAUGCAGAACAUCCCUGCAGGAUGAAAAUCUCCUGUCUUUUAAAGGCGUUCUCUUCUGAAGCAGUUCGUUGUCCCUGCUAGCAUCUGUCCUCCUCAGGCCCUGGUGUCAUCCUCUGAGAAGCACACACCUCACGUUCCCAGGCCAGGAAGCAAGCAGUCUGUUGCCUUCUCUUCUUUCUUG
rnacentral:lncRNA from 1 species